UACCGGGGGCUUCAGAGACUCCAAGGAAAAGCUGAAGAAUCAGCUCGUGCUCUGAACAGGGAUCAGAGCAGCUUGGGAGAGCCGGCCAGCAGGAGCUGAUGGAGAUCCAGUCAGCUGUCCACCAUCUGCAGCCCUGUCACCCAUCUCCACAUUUGCACCGGAGGGAGAGAACAGCUGACUGGUCCAGUCAGGUUUCAGGUCCCCGCCCAGGUCAGAGCACUUUCUUUGGCCAUGUGCUCACCUGCUUUCCUAUGGACACACUGCAGGACUGCCCAUGAAGCCAACACACACUAGCGGGCCAAGAAGCAUUACCCAUCUAUGACCUCAGUUGGCAGCCAGCUCUUCUGCUAAUAGAAGAAAAUCUUUUCCAGAAGCCUCUUCUAACACUUCCAGUCAAGUCCUACUGCCCAAGAUUAGGUCACAUGCCCAUGCCCAGCAAGGCUGGGAAGUGACAGGCUGCUGUAACGGGAGCACUCAUCCAGACCCAGUGAAACCAGCUAUGACCCGUCCAGAGGGCUGGAGAGCGCCUGCAGUUUCCACCUGCACAGACGACUUCCAGAAUGUCGACUGUCCUCUGCUGUCACCUCAAGCUGACUCCACGAGGCUGGACACAGGACUCUCCCCCUGGUCGCGCUUCCCUGGGGACACCAGGCAGCCACUUCUCUCUGGGCUGGGUACAGCCCCAGCUAGUCCUCAACCCUCCAGUAGCCCUGGUCCCAGAGUGGGAAACCGGCCCAGCUCAGCGCAAUUCUGGAGGCCCGAUCUCCCCAGGCUCUCUCAGGUUCAAGUUCAAGUGCCUAACAAGGUCUAAAGCCAUAUUUUUCAAAGUGAGAGUCAUGGCCCAUCAAUUGCUUAUACAAUCGAUUUACUAUGUCAUGACCUGUAACGCUUUAAUUAUUAUAUUUAUGAUUUAUUAUUACUUAAGAUUUGAAGGGUGAAAUGACUGUCUUUAAUUUAAUUAUUUGUUUGUUUGCUUGUUUUGGUCAUGCACAUAUUUAUUUACUUUGAUCAACCACCUAACAUAUUUUUGAUAUUUUGUGCCAAACAUCUGAUUAUGAAUAUGUUCAAACAUACGAAAAGGUUGAAAGAAUUGUAUGUUAAAUAUCUAGAUUCCCACCAUCUAGAUUCUACCAUUAACAUAUAUUUUUUAAUUUUUUAGAUUAAGGUACAAUUUAGAUACAGUAAGAGUCACCCUUUUUAGUGCACGGUUCUACGAGUUUUGACAAACACAGUCGAGUAGCCACCACCACAGCCACGACACAGAACAGUUCCUUCCAUCCAAAGUGCUCACCCCAGGCCCCCGCCCCAGCCCUGGUGCCAACCCUGGCUCCUGGCAACCCCUAUUUUCUCUCCCCAUAAUUGGUCAUGCAAACAGAGUCACGCAGCAUGUAGCAUUCUGAGUCUGGCUUCUUUCAUAAUGCACAGUGUGCUGGAGACUUUUCCACGAUGCUGUGUGUAUCAGAAGACUUUAUUUUUAUUGCUGAAUAGUAUUCCAUCCUGUGGAGAGACCUCUGGUUGUUUCCAUUUUUGGCAAUUACAAAUAAAGUCACUGUAAACAUUUGCAGACAGGUUUCUGCAGGAACCUAAGUUUUCAUCUCUCUAGGGUAAAGCCUAGGAGUAGAAAAGUGUGUAGUAUGAUAAAACAUAUGUUUUAUGUUUGUAAGAAACUGCCAAAAUGUUUCCCACGUGGCUGUAUCAUUUUGCAUUCCCACCAGCAAUCUAUGAGAAUUCAGUUGUUUCCAUCCUCACCAUCACUUGGUGGUGUUGGUAUAUUUUUAAAAUUUUG